GUUUAUAUGGACGUUCGUGUCUAUAAAAUAUACGUCAAUGGUUAGAGGUUACUAUUAUGUCGAUUCUCCAGUAAAACAUUAACUGCCGGUGCUGAGUAACUAUAAAAAGACUUUUUAUAUGGCGUUUCUGUACCAAAGGCCGGAGAUUGAAAUUGCACUAGUAGAACGUUACAAUGGAAGUUAAAUGAAUCGGAAAAUGAACCGUCUGUUUCCGUAUUUACAAUUGAAAAUGGAGGGAACACCGAUAAUAACUGCGUUUUAUAUACGUUAGUUUAAACUGUGAUUUCGUGUUGCAGCUGUUUAUUCGCACAAACAAAUCGCAUGAUGGUGCCACAGAUGUUGUGUUUUCGAUGGAUACAGUUAUCUGCAGUAGUAUUAUAAUGUGCAAACUUUUAUGCGUUGGGAGAUACGAGCGAAAUAUUUUUUGUAAACAAAUUGUAGAAUAUAUUUUAAAGUUACUGGUAACUUUAUAAACUUGCAUUUUUUUAGUUUAUUUACUAUAAUUCUACAGCGUCCCUCAGAUUUUUUAUUUAUUUAGCAUUGACAUAUUCACGAGCCGUAAAGUCUCUAAUGUCGCCUUUAAUUACUUUCGUCUGGAUUUUUUACGUUUCAACUGGGUAAGCUAGGGUCGUCACUCUUUUAAUCUCCUAGGUUAGACAUUUUUGAAAGCGCUAGGAAUUUAAAUAAAAUGUAGUUCCAAAAUUGUUGGUUCUUCUUAAUUUAUAAGUUUAGUUUUAGCACCUACCUGCUUAAUUAUUUUGGUUUUAUUUUGAUUUUAUAUCGA